rfam:Felis catus isolate Cinnamon breed Abyssinian chromosome X, whole genome shotgun sequence.
GCCUGGGUGGCUCAGUUGGUUAAGCAGCCGACUUCGGCUCAGGUCAUGAUCUAGCAGUCUGUGGGUUCGAGCCCCACAUCAGGCU